rfam:Myotis lucifugus cont2.11808, whole genome shotgun sequence.
GAGAUUCCCUUAUGGAGCAGGACUUGCUUCAGUGGGGCUUUGAUGUUCACUGAGUCUGUUCCUUUAGUGUGUCACU